GGGGCUAUAGCGCAGCUGGGAGCGCACAACACUGGCAGUGUUGGGGUCACGGGUUCGAGUCCCGUUAGCUCCACCA
rnacentral:tRNA from 2 species